rnacentral:rRNA from 1 species
UACGUAGGGUGCAAGCGUUAAUCGGAAUUACUGGGCGUAAAGCGUGCGCAGGCGGUUUUGUAAGACAGAGGUGAAAUCCCCGGGCUUAACCUGGGAACUGCAUUUGUGACUGCAUGGCUAGAGUACGGUAGAGGGGGAUGGAAUUCCGCGUGUAGCAGUGAAAUGCGUAGAUAUCUGGAGGAACACCGGUGGCGAAGGCGGCAUCCUGGACCGGCAUUGACGCUGAAUAGCGAAAGCUAGGGGAGCAAACGGG